rnacentral:rRNA from 1 species
AGCAGUAGCCACGGGAAUACGUAGGGUGCGAGCGUUGUCCGGAAUUACUGGGCGUAAAGAGCUCGUAGGCGGUUUGUCACGUCGUUCGUGAAAUCUUGAUGCUUAACAUCAAGCGUGCGGGCGAUACGGGCAGACUUGAGUACUACAGGGGAGACUGGAAUUCCUGGUGUAGCGGUGAAAUGCGCAGAUAUCAGGAGGAACACCGGUGGCGAAGGCGGGUCUCUGGGUAGUAACUGACGCUGAGGAGCGAAAGCGUGGGUAGCGAACAGGAUUAGAUACCCCUGUAGUCCCUGUCUCUUAUAC